rnacentral:lncRNA from 1 species
GACUGCACACUGUUGCCGGAUACUCUGGACUGCACACUGUUGCCGGAUACUCUGGACUACACACUGUUGCCGGAUACUCUGGACUGCACACUGUUGCCGGAUACUCUGGACUGCACACUAUUGCCGAACUCUCGAGGCUGGGCUGACGCACUGGAAGCCUGAUGCGUGGUACUGGUACUGGAUGUGCCAGUCUGGGGACAAGCACCUCAGGGCUAGUGCGGGGAGUGGGAACAGGCCAAGUCGGACUGGGUUGACGCACUAGAAGCCUGAUGCGUGGUGCUGGUACUGGAGGUAUCAGCCUGGGAACAUGCACCUCAGGGCUAGUGUGGGGAGCGGGAACAGGCCGAGUCGGACUGGGUUGACGCAAUGGAAGCCUGAUGCGUGGUGCUGGUACUGGAGGUAUCAGCCUGGGAACACGCACCUCGGGGAUAGUGCGGGGAGCGGGAACAGGCCGAGUCGGACUGGGUUGACGCACUGGAAGCCUGAUGCGUGGUGCUGGUACUGGAGGUAUCAGCCUGGGAACACGCACCUCAGGGCUAGUGCGGGGAGCGGGAACAGGACAAGUCGGACUGGGCUGACGCACUGGAAGCCUGAUGCGUGGUGCUGGUACUGGAGGUAUCAGCCUGGAAACACGCACCUCGGGGAUAGUGCGGGGAGCGGGAACAGGCCGAGUCGGACUGGGUUGACGCACUGGAAGCCUGAUGCGUGGUGCUGGUACUGGAGGUAUCAGCCUGGGAACACGCACCUCAGGGCUAGUGCGGGGAGCGGGAACAGGACAAGUCGGACUGGGCUGACGCACUGGAAGCCUGAUACGUGGUGCUGGUACUGGAGGUAUCAGCCUGGGGACACGCACCUCAGGGCUAGUGUGGGGAGCAGGAACAGGACAUACCGGACUGGGCUGACGCGCUGGAAGCCAGGUGCGUGGUGCUGGUACUGGACGUGCCAGACUAGGGGUUCGCACUUCAGGGCUAGUGCGGGGAGCGGGAACAGGACGAGUUGGACUGGGCUGACAAACUGGAGGCCUGGUGCGUGGUGCUGGUACUAUCUUCACCAGACAGCUAGCACGCACCUCAGGACUAGUAUAAAACGCUAACUCAGGUGAUAUCAUUAGGACACGCUCUGUAGGGCGAAUGUCGUGCCUAAUACACCAACACAGUAGCUCUCUCAUCCUUUUCUCCUCCAAUUUUCCCAUCAACUCCUUUAUACUCUGUUUCUCUCACCUCCAAUUUUACCCCGACUAGCUCUGGUUCCAUCCUCGGCUCCGCCGAUCUGUCCGUGUGCCCCCCCAAAAUAAAUUCUUGGGGUUGCCUCUCCGGUUUCCUCGCCAGUCGUGUACCCCGGUAGCGUUCCCGGUCCUCACCAGACUUCUUCCAUGGGCCCUCUCCGGCCAAAAUCUGCUCCCACGUCCAUUUCUCCCGCCAGUCCAUAUCGAAUUCCCCUUGCUCCUUACUCCGCUGCUUGGUCCAUUUGUGGUGGGAGAUUCUGUAACGGUUGUCGUCGGGGAUAGAGGACCAAAACGCAGCAGGAAUGUGGAUGCUCAUCUUGUAUUUAUUUUUAAAUCAAGAGAACACAAAAAUAACAAAACGAAGAACUCACAAACAACAAAACAGUCUUGUCAGGCUCAUACAGGCAAAACAAGAAACAAUCUCCCACAAACACUUAACCAAACACAUACCCAUAUAUAGGACUCUCAAUCAGAGGCAACUAGAAAACACCUGCCUCCAAUUGAGAGUCCAACCCCAAUAAACUAGACAUAGAAAUACAAAAGACUAGAGACCACAUAGAAAUACAAACCUAGAACAUAACCCCAAAAACCCGGAACUAACUAAACCAACACCCUACUAAAUAAAUCACCACCCCGAACCACAUAAAGAAAAUACCCUCUGCCACGUCCUGACCAAACUACAAUAACAAAUAACCCUUAUACUGGUCAGGACGUGACACAGUGUCUAUCGGACAGACGACUGAACCAGGUUUUACUCUAGCAUUUUGCCUGUGCUUAGCUGUAUUCCGUUUAUUUUUAUCCUAAAAAAACUCCCUAGUCCUUGUCGAUGGCAAGCAUACCCACAACAUGAUGCAGCCACCACCAUGAUGGGAAAUGAGAAGUUCCUUGAAAUUCACUGCUCGAUUGAAGGACCUUACAGAUAAUUGUAUGUGUUGGGAACAAAGAUGAGGUAGUCAUUCAAAAAUCAUGUUAACCACUAUUAUUGAACACAUAAUGAGUCUGUGCAACUUAUUAUGUGAUUUGUUAAGCACAUUUUUACUCCUGAACUUAUUUAGGCUUCCCAUAACAAAGGGAUUGAAUUCCUAUUGACUUAAGACAUUUUUGCUUGUCAUUAAACAUUUGUUUUUUAUGUUCAACUAACAAAAUUCCACUUUGACAUUAUGGGGCAUUGUGUGCCGAUCUGUAACACACCAUCUCAAUGUAAUAAAUGUUAAAUUCAGGCUGUAACACAACACUUAUGUGGAAAAAGUUAAGGGAUGUGAAUACUUUCUGAAGGCACUAUAUGCAUGAAGUGUUUCGACUGGGAAGCAUGUGACAGGCUUAAAACCUAUUAACCUGUUGGGGCUAGGGGGCAGUAUUUUCAUGGCUGGAUAAAAAAACGUACCCGAUUUAAUCUGGUUUCUAAUCCUACCCAGUAACUAGACUAUGCAUAUACUUAUUAUAUAUGGAUAGAAAACACCCUAAAGUUUCUAAAACUGUUUGAAUGGUGUCUGUGAGUAUAACAGAACUCAUUUGGCAGGCAAAAUCCUGAGACAUUUUCU